GGUCGAUGAUGUCUUGUAAAAGGUCUGAAUCUCGGGUCCCCCUCCGGCAGCCAUGUUGGCUCCCAGCAGCCCCUGCUCUAAGCUCCCAUCAUGCUCUAGUGCUGCAGUGAUGGUCCCAGCAGCUGCUGACAAACAGGAUGUGACAUCACAGCGAGUUUGCACAGAGACCCUGCAGACUCAGAGUGAUGACGCUCCGAUAGCCAAUCAGGAUGGAGCGUUGGGCUAAGGAGGCGGGGCCUGAGUGCUGAUCUCAUUCUGCUGCUGAGACC